CCAAUGUUUUCGGAUCUUAUUUAAACAACACGCUCCUUCACUUCUUCAAUGCUCUCAAACCCUACACCCACAUCUUCUACUUCACGAUUCUUCCUUCUGCUUGAAGCCUCAGCAAUGCAAUCCAAUCGAUUCAAUCACUAGAGACACCAUUGAUAAGCUACUCAUCCUUCAUUUCUCUUCUGUUUGUUUACAACUCGAUGAUACCGUAUGCACUAAUUAUCCUAAUUCUAGGUUAGUUUUCAAUUAAUCGUUUUUUUACCGUUCAUUGGAUGUUGAUUUUAGGGCUUUCAAUCGAUUGUCUCAAGAUCUUAGGUUCUGGGAUGUAUCUGGGAGAAAACACUAUUCAUUUCUAAACCCUAACCUCUGUUCCCUUCAUGGCUCUACUGGAUCAUUCAUCGUCUUUUUCAAACGAUUUAGAAAUCAGGUUGUGAUGAUCAAUUUCAAUGCGUCUGAGUGAAAUUGGGCAAAGAUGAGAUUGUCCCCAUCUUGGCAGGGCAACCUGGAUGGUCAUGUGGUUUCACAUGGCAACCGUAAGUAUGCAGCCAUGGCGGAUUUAUCCACUCUGUUUGAUUGUUUACAAAUCUGAGCCUCAUAAUCGUUUUAUAACAUCGACAACAGUACUGGUAUACAUCUGUUAUGUUUUUGGUUUUGGUACUUUCAAUUACUGGUAUACAUCUGUUUGAAGAAGUCAAUUUUUUAGGAAAAGUAGAAAUUGGUUACAAGGUUGCUGAAUUAUUGAAUUUUGGAAUUGGAAUUCAGGUCAACGUUUUGAAAGUCUAUAUGAAGAGGGACGUGUUGCAUAUGUUGACAUAGCAAAUAUGUUUAUUUAUCGAUUACACCUGCAAUACGUUAUUUUAAAGUAUUUGAUAAAAGCUGCAACAUUGACAAGCUGGCAUCUGUUAGUCACAUUUUGUUCAUUACAUGUGGCAUUAUGGAUGAAGUUCUUUGAGCACAAGCCCUUUGAUUCAAGAGCUGUCAUGGGCUUUGGCAUAUUGAAUGGGAUUUCCAUUGGGCUUCUUAACCUCAGCCUCGGUUUCAAUUCUGUUGGUUUUUACCAGAUGACAAAACUAGCUAUCAUCCCUUGCACUGUGCUUUUGGAGACUCUUUUCUUCAGCAAGCAAUUCAGAGAGACUGAACCUUCUGGUGGUGGUUAGCCACCGUACUCUACGGCGAUGCUACAUACUCCGAUGCUGAACUAUCUAAGGUUGCAAAUUGGAGAACAAGGACGCCUUUGGUGGUAUCGGUUUGGUCAAAGGAUGGGCACUGGUGUUGAUAUCGGUGGGAGCAGCCGUCAACUCCAGCGACUAUAGAGAUCCAUGAAGCAUAAACAUUGGUUGUUUUGUGUAUGUAGUAUGCGAAACCCAACACGCAAGAUAACAUUAAUUCAUUUUAGUAUUAUUUUUGUAAGUUCAUUGUAAUUUAAUUACAUAAGUUAUCCUUAUGUGUGUUACGAGUCCGAGGUGUAAGUCAAGCCAAGUGUUGUGACUGUUGGAAAGAAAUGAAGACGCUUUGAUCUUUUUCAGAGACCCAUUUCUUUG